GUGCGUCUCCUCCUCCGCAGGUCAGCUCCGCCGAAGGCGCCGCCAAGGAAGAGCCCAAGAGGAGAUCGGCGCGGUUGUCAGCUAAACCUCCUGCAAAAGUGGAAGCGAAGCCGAAAAAGGCAGCAGCGAAGUGUAGGUGGAAGUUUAGCACUGCAGUCAUCAGAAGAGGCAAGAUUAAUUUCCUUGACAUUGAGGAGUUGUUGGCUAAUUACUAAAUUUGUCCUUGUUAAAUAAAGAUUCUUCAAACACCUAAAUGAAAGUGAUAAAUUCAAAACUGAUCCUUUUAGUUCCUCAUUAUAUGAUAUGAAGGGAUUAACUGUAGCAGGAUAGUCAACCUGACCGUACGGCAUGGUGCUUUUUUUCAGGAUAAAUCUUCAGACAAAAAAGUGCAAACAAAAGGGAAAAGGGGAGCAAAGGGAAAACAGGCCGAAGUGGCUAACCAAGAAACUAAAGAAGAUUUACCUGCGGAAAACGGGGAAACGAAGACUGAGGAGAGUCCAGCCUCUGAUGAAGCAGGAGAGAAAGAAGCCAAGUCUGAUUAAUAACCAUAUACCAUGUCUUAUCAGUGGUCCCUGUCUCCCUUCUUGUACAAUCCAGAGGAAUAUUUUUAUCAACUAUUUUGUAAAUGCAAGUUUUUUAGUAGCUCUAGAAACAUUUUUAAGAAGGAGGGAAUCCCACCUCAUCCCAUUUUUUAAGUGUAAAUGCUUUUUUUUAAGAGGUGAAAUCAUUUGCUGGUUGUUUAUUU
rnacentral:sRNA from 1 species